rnacentral:lncRNA from 1 species
CGUGCGCGCGCGCGCUCGGCACGGGGCGGGCUCGCGGCCGGGGCAGAACUGCGGCUGUGGCCGUGCGCGAGCGGAUCGGCUCGGCUAGAGAGGGACUCUCGCUUGGAGCGAAGCGGUCGCGAACGAUAUAUCUUCUUCUCUGCGAUGAACUGCCUCUGGGAAGCUGUGCAGUAGACCUGCAUCUGACCACUGAGGGAGGUGUGAUAGCAGAGGAGACCCUGAGAAGCAAGGCCUGGGAAUCACGUGGCUGUAUAUUGUGAACGUCACUGUUUGAGUCAGUCGCAAAACCCUUUCUGCAUUAUGAUUAUGAUUCUGUGAAAAGUUAUUGCUGUGUCAGUCACAUUAUUUUCCUCUUUCUCUCUCAGGGCUG